rnacentral:rRNA from 1 species
GAUGAACGCUGGCGGCGUGCCUAAUACAUGCAAGUCGAGCGGACAGACGAGGAGCUUGCUCCUCUGACGUUAGCGGCGGACGGGUGAGUAACACGUGGAUAACCUACCUAUAAGACUGGGAUAACUUCGGGAAACCGGAGCUAAUACCGGAUAAUAUAUUGAACCGCAUGGUUCAAUAGUGAAAGACGGUUUUGCUGUCACUUAUAGAUGGAUCCGCGCCGCAUUAGCUAGUUGGUAAGGUAACGGCUUACCAAGGCAACGAUGCGUAGCCGACCUGAGAGGGUGAUCGGCCACACUGGAACUGAGACACGGUCCAGACUCCUACGGGAGGCAGCAGUAGGGAAUCUUCCGCAAUGGGCGAAAGCCUGACGGAGCAACGCCGCGUGAGUGAUGAAGGUCUUCGGAUCGUAAAACUCUGUUAUUAGGGAAGAACAAAUGUGUAAGUAACUAUGCACGUCUUGACGGUACCUAAUCAGAAAGCCACGGCUAACUACGUG